UUGUGUUCUUGAAACUUAAAGAAUUUGGCGGUAUCCUACUCCGUUCAAAGGAAUCUGUCUCGUUAUCGAUAGUCCGCGUUGGACCUUACUUAGGGUUAGUUUUGGUUUGUAUACCGCCGUUUAUUGAUUAUCUUUUUAGAGUAUCAUGAAUUUUCUGGUUUCUUUAAUUUGAUUUAUUGCAGGUCAAGGUGCAGCUUUUUCUAAGUGUAAUGAUGGAUUACAGUGUUAUGUGUUGUUUGGAUUGUUUAUUUUAAUAUUGGCAUGAAAUUGGAUUUGGUUGUAAUGUUUUGUAGAUUGUUUUCAUGAUAGUUGGUUCUAGGAUAUGUACACAUGCCCCGUCGCUCUUA
rnacentral:rRNA from 1 species